UACGUAGGGUGCGAGCGUUAAUCGGAAUUACUGGGCGUAAAGCGUGCGCAGGCGGUUUUGUAAGCCAGAUGUGAAAUCCCCGGGCUCAACCUGGGAAUGGCAUUUGGGACUGCAAGGCUGGAGUGCGGCAGAGGAGACUGGAAUUCCUGGUGUAGCAGUGAAAUGCGUAGAUAUCAGGAGGAAUACCGAUGGCGGAGGCAGGUCUCUGGGCUGACACUGACGCUCAUGCACGAAAGCGUGGGGAGCAAACAGG
rnacentral:rRNA from 1 species